rnacentral:pre_miRNA from 1 species
AAUAAGUCAAUUUUUUAGUUUUUAAAUACAACGUUUGACUCUUGUCUUAUUUAAAACUUUUUAUGAUUAAUAUUUUUAUCGUUAUUAGAUGAUAAAAUAUGGAUAUUACUUUAUGUGUGACUAAUUUUUUAAUAAAUUUUUUAAAUGAGACCAAUGAUCAAAUGUUGGACACAUAAAU